rnacentral:lncRNA from 1 species
GCUUGCAACAACAAAAAUAAAAGGAAAUAGACACCAAAUUCGUCAACGAAGCUAUCUCAUUUAAGGACAUAACAUCCUUAUUACUGGGUAUCAAAACUUUUAGCUUUGGAGAAAGCAAGUAAAUUAAAUUAAAACGCUUACACAAGUAUUCGAGGGAGAAAAAAACAGAUCCAAGAGAACACAAACAUUUCAGUAAAGCAAAAUAAUCUUCACUUUUCACGCAUGGCAUGCCAAAUGUUCACUUGGGAAUUUGUUAGAGGGCAAGGUCCCUCGAUCACCACCAACAGGUCCAGUCUAUCACCCGUUCAGAUUCUCACAUAUUGUUCUGUCCUGUGCUGUUUUUAUCACUCGUUGGAUCUUCAAAAUAUUCAUCAUAACCCAGGAAGAAAUGAUUUCGUUUUUGGUUGAAUCUCAAGCUGCUGCACCCUUUUGGUGUCACUUUCUACGGACUACAGCAUGAAUGGAGAGAAAAAAAAGUGCGUUCCAUGAUAUAGUAAUAAAGAGGAGAGGGCGUAGACAAGAGAUUCGCCAAAGUUGAAAGAAGUGAACGCGGGCAUUGCUAGUGUGUCUGUAGCCUGUAGGCGCACGAACCGAAUGAAAGCAGGGACCAGCAGCAGCAUACAUGUCCUUAUUGGGCAAGGACGGGUAUAAAAGAUGAUACUCCAGUAACCCGCUCUACUUAUAUCACUCUCUCCUUUUCUUUCUAGCUUUCGCAAUGGUCCAUCGCACGCACAAGAAACCCAAGAAUUGUUUUCCAUCAACUUCCUUUUUAAAAAAUAAAGUUAUAGUCCAUCGGUUGUGAAUUUUGGGGGAGAUCGACUGAAAUCUUCUAAAAUCGAGACGGGUUGCCAAAAGGUAAGCUGACUAACAACAGCAGCAUCUGGACAAAGCUUAGAACAUGAUGGCAUCAUCAAUGGACAGCGCAUACACCAGCAACGCUGUUGUAAACCCAUUAAUCAAUUCCAUGGCACAGCUCAAUCGUGCAUGUGCAAAGAAAUUCAAGAAGCUCCAAAAAGCUCUCCAGUCUCCACCGUACGCCACACCUACCCCUGAAGACUCGACGGGAGCCGCCACGGUCCACUGGCCUUCAGCAACAUGGCGUACGGAGACAAUAAGUUCAUUCGCGAAACCCAGCAGACGGGACCCGUCACAGUACAUUCGGCUGAUUGGCCAGGGUCCCACGAGACAGUGGCCCACGGGCGACCACGUGUGCGGCCCGGGCUGCCCGGUGCGGCCGAUCCGAUCGGCGCGGCAGCGGCACCAGAUCCAGCCUCUGGCACCCGCCAAAAACCGAUCUGGGGGCCAGGUGGUCGGUCUCUCUUGGUGCGUUCAUGUGGGUCCAUUAACUAGCGUCAGAGGCACGCACGCCGCUGGGGAGCUCGAGUUCAAGGCUGGCGUCAGUGUGGGUGUGGCAGUGUGGCACUCACCGACCGCCCGCUCGUUCCAUCAAGUGAGGAGUCACAAGUUCCGUCGAGGCCAACCGUGCUCCUACGCCGAUCGAUCUGAGAGCGACACAUGGGCAGCAAUAUUCUAAAGCCACGCGCAAUUUGCAGACACGGCAACAGCCAAUCGCAGCACCGCUGCGCACUUGCACGAACCAGGCCC